UAAGAACAAGUUAAUGAGUUAUGUCGAACAUUGAACAUCAGUUUAAAGAAUAAUAAAAGUUACAUAAAUGUGGGGACCAUUUUAACACAUAUUGAAAAAUAUAUGUCACUUUUAAAAUUGUUAUUUUUUUUUAUAAUCAAAUCGUUACUUAAUUGAUUGACUUUUGAGUAUGCUGACCCAUUCAAUCUGCCCUCAUAAACUUCACACCUAUUUAUAUUAUUUGUAGUAAAAAAAAAACAGCUAAUGGCAAAUUCAUUCACAAAUGAAACAUCUCGAAAUAAACCUUUUCUCUCUCUGCUUAUAUCAUUUUAAAAUUCUAUCUUUUUCAUUCAUUUGUUAGAAGUCUUUAUGCCAUUUUCAAAGGACAGGAUAAAAACACAAUUUUCCGACACAGCUUUAGGUAUUAAAUUUUUUAAUGAACUUUAAAUUACAGAGUAUAUAUUCUUCAAGAUGACACCUUACACAUUUAAAGUACUUCAACUCUGACACAACUAGUGCCAAAAGGCAUUUUGUCCCUUCAAUACAAUCACACUGUAUAUAAUGGAUUAUUGUCCGAUGAAAAUAUUUAUUUUAAAUUGUGAAAUCAUUUGAAGCAUUUGAGUCAGACAAAAACAUGCCUUUUUUGUGGGUGUUAAAAAACCCAACCGCAAAAUAUGAAAUAAAAUCAGUCAUAUUAUAAUGUGCCUGAAUUUUACUUUGUUUAUAACAAUUAAUUUUAAUUUGUUUUUAAAAUCUAAUUAUGUGUAGUCAUUCACUUUUAUGUAUUGUGGGUUUCAUAAAUAACUUAUUUUGCACUUAUUUUUGAAUAUUUGGUGGGUACAGGUGAAUCUGUUAGUACUGAGAAUUCAUAAACUAGCUAUUGCACGGUUUUUAUUAUUGCGAAAAAUGCGACAGGGUUACAAUCGCAAUAAUUUUAAAUCGCAUUUAGUUUUUUUUUAUAUGGAUUAAACAGGAUUUUUCUCGAUCUUGCAAUAAUUAAAAUC
rnacentral:lncRNA from 1 species